rnacentral:rRNA from 1 species
CCUACGGGAGGCAGCAGUAGGGAAUAUUGCUCAAUGGGGGAAACCCUGAAGCAGCAACGCCGCGUGGAGGAUGAAGGUUUUCGGAUUGUAAACUCCUUUUGUUAGAGAAGAUAAUGACGGUAUCUAACGAAUAAGCACCGGCUAACUCCGUGCCAGCAGCCGCGGUAAUACGGAGGGUGCAAGCGUUACUCGGAAUCACUGGGCGUAAAGCGCGCGUAGGCGGGAUAGCAAGUCAGAUGUGAAAUCCUAUGGCUUAACCAGAGAACUGCAUUUGAAACUGUUAGUCUAGAGUAUGGGAGAGGUAGGUGGAAUUCUUGGUGUAGGGGUAAAAUCCGUAGAGAUCAAGAGGAAUACUCAUUGCGAAGGCGACCUGCUAGAACGUAACUGACGCUGAUGCGCGAAAGCGUGGGGAGCAAACAGGAUUAGAUACCCCAGUAGUC